rnacentral:rRNA from 1 species
GAUGAACGCUAGCGAUAGGCUUAACACAUGCAAGUCGAGGGGCGGCAUGGUCUUAGCUUGCUAAGACUGAUGGCGACCGGCGCACGGGUGCGUAACGCGUAUGCAACUUGCCUCACAGAGGGGGAUAACCCGUCGAAAGACGGACUAAUACCGCGUACACUUGGGAUAGGGCAUCCUGACCCAAGGAAAUGAAAUUCGCUGUGAGAUAGGCAUGCGUCCCAUUAGCUAGUUGGUGAGGUAACGGCUCACCAAGGCGACGAUGGGUAGGGGAACUGAGAGGUUGAACCCCCACACUGGUACUGAGACACGGACCAGACUCCUACGGGAGGCAGCAGUGAGGAAUAUUGGUCAAUGGGCGAGAGCCUGAACCAGCCAAGUCGCGUGAAGGAUGACUGUCUUAUGGAUUGUAAACUUCUUUUAUACGGGAAUAACAAGAGUCACAUGUGGCUCCCUGCAUGUACCGUAUGAAUAAGCAUCGGCUAACUCCGUG